UGGCUCUCGCAUCGAUGAAGAACGCGGCGAAAUGCGAUAAGUAAUGUGAAUUACAGAUUUCAGUGAAUCAUCGAAUCUUUGAACGCACCUUGCGCUCCUCGGUCUUCCGAGGAGCACGCCUGAUUGAGUGCCCAGAAGUACACUCAGCCCAACACCUUGUUGUGAUGGGUUGGAUUGGUGGGGGCUUUGCCGUAGUCUUUUUAGACCAUGGCUCCCUCUGAAUACAUUAGCUUGCCCAUAAAGGUCUUGCCCUUGGCUUGAUAAUUACGUCGACGCCGUGUGGUGGAUCCUGUAAGGCUGCUUCUAGCCAUCUGCUUGUCAGACAACUUCUUUUGACCUCGGGCCUCAAAUCAGGUAGGAUUACCCGCUGA
rnacentral:misc_RNA from 1 species